rnacentral:lncRNA from 1 species
UUUGUUGAUCUUGAGUAUAGGUAUGCUGUACGAUCAAGAGGGAUACGUCACAUGGUCAUUUGACAAAGUCUCAGUGCUCAGGUUUCCUAUGUGAGUUGUUGAGAGACACAAAAGCCACAUAAACACACUCUGUCGAGUCAGGCACUGGCAAAAUUAGAAGCUCCAAUUUUAGAAAUAGGAAGUUCCGGUUUUAGAUGCCACGUGUCACUAACGGCUAGUUGGUUUGAAAAAUUGGAGGUUUCGAUUUUGGGAAACUGGUAGUUCUGGUUUUGGUUUGACACACGAACGGCUAGCUUUUGAGGGGUGGUGUAUUUAUACCCUACACCCUCCCUAGUUGCUAGCUGCUGCUUCUGAUGUUGCUUGUGUGCUUCCUGUCUGUUCUAAGCUGAACUAAAGCCAAAUUUGCUCUGCCCAACCCCUCUUUGUGAAGAAUAGUGAUAUUUGCUAGAUCUUGUGAGUUGGGUAACAGAGAGGAGCCAUUCAUGAGCAUUAGUAGAGCACUAAGUUCCC